UGUAUACAAACACAUUGUAAAGCUGCUGUCUAGCAGUUUCUGUGUUAAAGUUGAUCACCUGUAACUGUAACCUUAAUACUUCCAAACUGAACCUGUGAGUUUUCAUCCUUGUACUGUGAAUGUGCCCAUGUACAUAACAGCUGUGAUCAGACCAGCAUCCCUUUUGUUUAUGAAAAUCAAUUGAUCUUAAUACAGUGGGAAGACCCUUCGCCCACACAGCUCUAGGGUCCGACCUGACCAGGGCAGAAAGGGAAUGAAAAACAGACACACACAGGAAAGCUGGGGUUGGGUAGACUGGACAUUGAUGGAGAAACCAGCACCCAGAAACUCAGAGUUUAUUCCAUGGAGAAGCACAAAGAGGCAGUGCUGUUGUAUACAGAUAAAAAAGGAGGAAACAUCCGAGGUAUACUGCUGGAUCAAGGAGACAGGUUUAGCCAAUCUCUUCAAGAGCAGUCCCCAUAUGUAGGGAAGCAAUCCUCAGGCUGUAAAUAUCAGGAUGGGGCUCAGGGAGCUAAGGUACACAUGUUCUACACAUACCAUCAACACUCAUGCUCAACCCAGGGGGACUCUGCCAUUCUCGUGGGUCUAAGGUAAGGGUCCGUGAUAGGGCAGUCACUCUGGAUGUCCUCUGCUCCCUACAGGAUAGAGGUGAACUGAGAUACAGUAUCGAAGAGAAACAGACCAUCGUGGCAGGUGUGAAUGUGUACCUUAAUCCUUAAUUUGCGGGACCCCUUUGCCCUUGUCUAUUGUGCACUAGGGAGUGCUCUCAAAUAGGGCACGAAAAGAAAACCUGACGGUGCUG
rnacentral:lncRNA from 1 species